GACGAACGCUGGCGGCGGGCUUAACACAUGCAAGUCGAAGAUAGUGGCGCACGGGUGAGUAAUACGUUGUAACCUGCCUGGUAGUGGGGGAUAAAGUCCGGAAACGGGCGCUAAUACCGCAUUAUAUCAGAUGAGCCUCUGUGGGAUUAGCGAGUUGGUGGGGUAAAGGCAUACCCAGGCCACGAUCCGUAACUGGUCUGAGAGGAUGAUCAGUCACACUGGAACUGAGACACGGGCCAGACUCCUACGGGAGGCAGCAGUGGGGAAUAUUGGACAAUGGGCGAAAGCCUGAUCCAGCCAUGCCGCGUGUGUGAAGAAGGUCUUCGGAUUGUAAAGCACUUUAAGUGGGGAGGCGUUACCCACAGAAUAAGCACCGGCUAACUUCGUGCCAGCAGCCGCGGUAAUAC
rnacentral:rRNA from 1 species